AAAGGGGCCAAUGUUUUUGGCUAAGCUCAUGUGUAGUAUCUGUUCUUAUCAGUUUAAUAUCUGAUACGCCCCCUAUCUGGGGGCCAUAUAUUAAAUGGAUUUAUAGAACAGGGAGAUGGAAGAAGAGCUUGCUCUGUCCACUCCACGCAUUGACCUGGUAUUGCAGUACCUCCAGGACCGGUGCACAAAAU
rnacentral:snRNA from 1 species